AAAGAGAAGCAAGAACCGUGAGGUGGAGCAAAACUCAAAAACUUAGUCUCAGUUCGGAUUGUAGGCUGAAACUCGCCUACAUGAAGCUGGAGUUGCUAGUAAUCGCGAAUCAGCAUGUCGCGGUGAAUACGUUCCCGGGCCUUGUACACACCGCCCGUCACACCAUGAGAGUUGGCAAUACCCAACGUACGUGAUCUAACCCGCAAGGGAGGAAGCGUCCUAAGGUAGGGUCAGCGAUUGGGGUGAAGUCGUAACAAGGUAAC
rnacentral:rRNA from 1 species